rnacentral:rRNA from 1 species
CCUACGGGUGGCAGCAGUGAGGAAUAUUGGUCAAUGGGCUUACGCCUGAACCUGCCAAGCCGCGUGAGGGAAGACUGCUCUAUGGGUUGUAAACCUCUUUUGUCAGGGAGCAAUUGGCGCUACGUGUAGCGUGAUCGAGAGUACCUGAUGAAAAAGCAUCGGCAAACUCCGUGCAAGCAGCCGCGGUAAUAAGGAGGAUGCGAGGUGUAUCCGGAUUCAUUGGGUUAAAGGGGUGCGCAGGCGGGCCUUUAAGCCGGCGGGGAAAUCCCGGGGCUAAACCCCGCCGAGCCGUCGGUACUGGGGGCCUUGAGUGCGGCGGAGGCAUGCGGAAUGCGCGGUGUAGCGGUGAAAUGCAUAGAGAUCGCGCAGAACCCCGAUUGCGAAGGCAGCGUGCCGUGCCGCCACUGACGCUGAGGCACGAAAGCGCGGGGAUCGAACAGGAUUAGAUACCCCAGUAGUC